AUUGAACGCUGGCGGCAUGCCUUACACAUGCAAGUCGAACGGCAGCACGGGUGCUUGCACCUGGUGGCGAGUGGCGAACGGGUGAGUAAUACAUCGGAACGUACCUUAUCGUGGGGGAUAACGCAGCGAAAGCUGUGCUAAUACCGCAUACGCCCUGAGGGGGAAAGCGGGGGAUCGCAAGACCUCGCGCGAUUAGAGCGGCCGAUGCCUGAUUAGCUUGUUGGUGGGGUAAAAGCCCACCAAGGCGACGAUCAGUAGCUGGUCUGAGAGGACGAUCAGCCACACUGGGACUGAGACACGGCCCAGACUCCUACGGGAGGCAGCAGUGGGGAAUUUUGGACAAUGGGGGCAACCCUGAUCCAGCAAUGCCGCGUGAGUGAAGAAGGCCUUCGGGUUGUAAAGCUCUUUUGUCAGGGAAGAAACACCGGCUCUAACACAGUCUGGGAAUGACGGUACCUAACCAGAAAGCCACGGCUAACUACGUGCCAGCAGCCGCCGUAA
rnacentral:rRNA from 1 species